UGAACGCUAGCGGCAGGCUUAAUACAUGCAAGUCGAGGGGUAAGGCUCAUUUCGGUGAGUACACGACCGGCGCACGGGUGCGUAACGCGUAUGCAACCUACCUUUAACAGAGGGAUAGCCCGAAGAAAUUCGGAUUAAUACCUCAUAAUAAUAUUAUAUGGCAUCAUAUUGAUAUUUAAAACUCCGGUGGUUAAAGAUGGGCAUGCGUGACAUUAGUUAGUUGGUGAGGUAACGGCUCACCAAGACUUCGAUGUCUAGGGGUUCUGAGAGGAUGAUCCCCCACACUGGUACUGAGACACGGACCAGACUCCUACGGGAGGCAGCAGUAAGGAAUAUUGGUCAAUGGGCGCAAGCCUGAACCAGCCAUGCCGCGUGCAGGAAGACAGCCUUAUGGGUUGUAAACUGCUUUUAUAAAGGGAUAAACCCCCCGACGAGUCGGGGGCUGAAGGUACUUUAUGAAUAAGCACCGGCUAACUCC
rnacentral:rRNA from 1 species